rnacentral:pre_miRNA from 17 species
AUAAUCAGCAUUUCUGUGAGCUGUUGAAUACGGGGCCGGAACACUGUCUGAGAGUACUAGAUUUCUCACAGUGAACCGGUCUCUUUUUCAGCUGCUUCCUUAACUGCGGAGCAAAA